UGGGGAAUAUUGCACAAUUGGCGCAAGCCUGAUGCAGCCAUGCCGCGUGUGUGAAGAAGGCCUUCGGGUUGUAAAGCACUUUCAGCGGGGAGGAAGGCGUUAAGGUUAAUAACCUUGGCGAUUGACGUUACCCGCAGAAGAAGCACCGGCUAACUCCGUGCCAGCAGCCGCGGUAAUACGGAGGGUGCAAGCGUUAAUCGGAAUUACUGGGCGUAAAGCGCACGCAGGCGGUCUGUCAAGUCGGAUGUGAAAUCCCCGGGCUCAACCUGGGAACUGCAUUCGAAACUGGCAGGCUAGAGUCUUGUAGAGGGGGGUAGAAUUCCAGGUGUAGCGGUGAAAUGCGUAGAGAUCUGGAGGAAUACCGGUGGCGAAGGCGGCCCCCUGGACAAAGACUGACGCUCAGGUGCGAAAGCGUGGGGAGCAAACAGG
rnacentral:rRNA from 1 species